rnacentral:rRNA from 1 species
AUUGAACGCUGGCGGCAGGCCUAACACAUGCAAGUCGAACGAGUGGCGGACGGGUGAGUAACGUCUGGGAAUCUGCCUGCUGGAGGGGGAUAACUACUGGAAACGGUAGCUAAUACCGCAUACCCUCAGAUGUGCCCAUCUGGGAUUAGCUAGUUGGUGGGGUAACGGCUCACCAGGGCGACGAUCCCUAGCUGGUCUGAGAGGAUGACAAGCCACACUGGAACUUAGACACGGUCCGGACGCCUACGGGAGGCAGCGGUGGGGAAUAUUGGGCAAUGGGCGCAAGCCUGAUGCAGCCAUGCCGCGUGUAUGAAGAAGGCCUUCGGGUUGUAAAGUACUUUCAGCGGGGAGGCGUUACCCGCAGAAGAAGCACCGGCUAACUCCGUGCCAGCAGCCGCGGUAAUAC